CUGUGAGCCUCCAGCAUGCUUAAGUCUGGAGUGACCAUGUGCAUUCCUAUAGUGCUUACAAGAACAUUAUGAAAUGGCUUGAGGCCUUGCCCUGCUCCAUCUAGAACAAAGUUAUAAAAAUUUCAGACAAUU